rnacentral:rRNA from 1 species
GACGAACGCUGGCGGCGUGCUUAACACAUGCAAGUCGAACGGAAAGGCCCUGCUUUUGUGGGGUGCUCGAGUGGCGAACGGGUGAGUAACACGUGAGUAACCUGCCCUUGACUUUGGGAUAACUUCAGGAAACUGGGGCUAAUACCGGAUAGGAGCUCCUGCUGCAUGGUGGGGGUUGGAAAGUUUCGGCGGUUGGGGAUGGACUCGCGGCUUAUCAGCUUGUUGGUGGGGUAGUGGCUUACCAAGGCUUUGACGGGUAGCCGGCCUGAGAGGGUGACCGGCCACAUUGGGACUGAGAUACGGCCCAGACUCCUACGGGAGGCAGCAGUGGGGAAUAUUGCACAAUGGGCGGAAGCCUGAUGCAGCAACGCCGCGUGCGGGAUGACGGCCUUCGGCUUGUAAACCGCUUUCGCCUGUGACGAAGCGUGAGUGACGGUAAUGGGUAAAGAAGCACCGGCUAACUACGUG